AUUUUUCAGGGAUUUUUUUUCUGGGGUGUUCCAGCAUUAUUUGGGAUUUAUUUGGGGGUUUUUCUUGGGCUGUUCUGGCUUUAUUUGGGAUUUAUUUGGGGAUUUUUCUCGGGCUGUUCUGGCGUUAUUUGGGAUUUAUUUUGGGGUUUUUUUGCCGUUUCUCUGGGCUGUUCUGGCGUUAUUUGGGAUUUAUUUGGGGGUUUUUUUGCUGUUUUUCUGGGCUGUUCCGGCGUUAUUUGGGAUUUAUUUGGGGAUUUUUCUUGGGCUGUUCUGGCGUAAUUUGGGAUUUAUUUUGGGGUUUUUUUGCUGUUUUUCUGGGCUGUUCUGGCGUUAUUUGGGAUUUAUUUUGGGUUUUUUUUGCCGUUUUUCUCAGGCUGUUCUGGCGUUAUUUGGGAUUUAUUUUGGGGUUUUUUGCAGUUUUCUCUGGGCUGUUCUGGCGUUAUUUGGGAUUUAUUUGGGGAUUUUUCUCGGGCUGUUCUGGCGUUAUUUGGGAUUUAUUUUGGGUUUUUUUUUUGCAGUUUUCUCUGGGCUGUUCUGGCAUUAUUUGGGAUUUAUUUGGGGAUUUUUCUUGGGCUGUUAUUUGGGGAUUUUUCUUGGGCUGUUCUGGCGUUAUUUGGGAUUUAUUUGGGGAUUUUUCUUGGGCUGUUAUUUGGGAUUUAUUUGGGGAUUUUUCUCGGGCUGUUCCGGCGUUAUUUGGGAUUUAUUUGGGGAUUUUUCUUGGGCUGUUAUUUGGGAUUUAUUUGGGGAUUUUUCUUGGGCUGUUAUUUGGGAUUUAUUUGGGGAUUUUUCUCGGGCUGUUCUGACGUUAUUUGGGAUUUAUUUUGGGGGUUUUUUGCAGUUUUUCUGGGCUGUUCUUGCGUUAUUUGAGAU
ensembl:lncRNA